GAGCAAAAUCCAUCCGAAUUCCGGCGAUGUCGAGCUCUCUUCGACGGCCAGCGGCUGCCAGACCGAUCUCCAAACCAUCCGCCAAGGGCCUCAACAGCCAUAACCGAUGGUCCUCUCUAGCCAAUCUGCCAGAGGAAGAAGAUGAAUCGGAUCGACUCAGUAACUUGCCUGAGGGUGUGUUGCUCGAUAUUUUAGGGCGACUUGACAUCGCAGAUGCUGCUAGAACUAGAAUCCUCGCCAGACGGUGGAAGGAGAUUCCUACCAUGCUCUCCAAUUUUUUUAUAACAGUUGGUUCCUAUGACGAUGAGCACAAUAGAGCGUUGACCCGUGAUGAUGUAGCUCGGGCCAAUGCCACCGUCCUUGGAGCAACCAGGAGCUUGCUGGAAAGCAGGACUAGUACAAGCCUAUGCACCUCCAUUAAGCUCCUGCGCGUGCAAUUCUUCUUGGGAGAUGGAGAUGUUACUAGUAUCGGCCAGUCUCUUGCCAACACCAUGGCAAUGAACAAGGUUGGGUCAGCGUAAUUAACUCUCUUUACAAUGAAGGAAAGCACACGAUGCAGAAAGGACGAUGUUCUCACUUAUGGGAUGCAGUUUAAGUCAUUUUUUGACGCCUGUCCAAAGGCAUUCAGUGGUCUGGCAAGACUCAAGCUAGAAAAUUUGAGGCUAGCUGAAUCAUCGGGCUUCCCUGAAAUUCUCAGUGUAUGCAAGCAACUGGAGUUCCUCCGCCUGUAUAACUGCGACAUGGGGUACCUUUCUUUGCUAGAAGUGUCACACCCACUACUCUGUGAACUCGAGAUUGUCAAGUGUGAUUUUGAGAGGGUUGAUCUCGUGUGGCUACCAAAUCUCAAAAUGCUGACUUAUUCUUGGUGGGUCUGUGAGCAUGAUCCUUUGUCUUUUGAUUAUGUCCCACUGCUCCAGACUCCGAGCCUCACCAGUAUGGCUCACGGCACAAGGUGCUCAAGUUAAGUGACUUCCUUGGCAAAGCCACCAUAAGCGACCUGCAUCUAAAUUUUCUGUGUGAAAAGAUCUGGGUUAAACCAGAAGAACCAGAUCAAUUGUUGCAGGUGUUCCACAAAUUAAGGCAUGUGACUUUGACCCACAUCUCUGAAGAAUGCGAUCUGAAUUGGACAAUGUUCAUUCUCCAAGGUGCACCGUACCUUGAGGAGCUAUGCAU